AAGCCCCCAGCAGACAGGGCAGGGUCUCUGUGAGUCAGGACUGUUUGUAGGUCUGGGGUCAGCAGGACCCUCACUGAUGUGUUGAGAUUGGUCAGUCGGGGGGCAGUUGGUGGUGGCGGGGAGUGAGCAAUGGUCAGCAGGGUCAGGCUACCAGGGACAAAGUGUGAGCCUGCCCAGGGUCCUGCAGGUGGACAGACACAUUCGAGGCUGCUCGCAGGACGACAGAGGAACCUCGGUGGAUAGGGACAGGCCCCAUCAAGGCUGCACGCCAUCGGCCAUGGCCGCCCUGCUUCGCCCACCCGCUCAGCUGCCACCUCCUCCAGCCAGGCUGGCACCCUCUCCAACACCUCUCCACCCAGCAGGACCAGGACACAGAUCCAGAUGUGCAACGGCCAAAGAGGGGCUGGGGCGCGGGCGAAGCCACAUGCAGCCCAGCGGCACCUGAGCUGAGAGUCUGCAGAGGUGACAGGAUGGAGGACACCUCCAUCAGGGCCUGGACAGCCAUGCCACGGAUGAGCCUUUCUCCAGUGAAAACACCCGGCUUGUCAACUCUAGGUGGCCCAAGACGGGCAGCUUCCCUCCCAGCCUACUGGGGCUCAGCAAGCAGUGUAGACACCAGGAGUGAUGGCCUUGACUUUCUGUUCCCAGGGGACCACAGUCACACACACACACACACACACACACACACAAAAUGAUACUUUUGUUAACCUGUUGGUUGCCUUUUCCAUUCUAUUUUUACAAAAGAUUUAUUUGACACAGAGGUUUUAAAUCGGCUGGUCCAUGCAACAAAUGGACCCAAUGGCCAGGGCUGGGUCCGGCCAAAGCCAGGAGCCAGACUCCAUCUGGAUCUCCAACAUGAGUGUCAGGGACCUGCCAGCCCGGGUCAUGUGCUGCUGCCUUUCAGGGGCAUUAGCAGGGAGCUGGAAGGACACGGAGGGGCCGGGACUCUAACCAGCACUCCUAUGGGAUGCUGGUAUCAGAGGCGGAGGCUUAACUGCUGCACCACAGGGCUGUCCACUGUCACUGGAGUUUUUAAAAGAAUCCUUAUCUGUGUGUAAAAUACAAUCUAAGAAAAAAAGUCCUUGUGCUCCUGGGACCACGUGACCCUCGAGUCAAAGCCUGAUCUGGAGGGGACCCUGCCCUCGGGGCUGAUUCUGUGCCCCCUCCCCUCCCCUGGCGCUCAGCGGUUCUGCAGCCAUCGGGUGGCCAGACCCACAGAGGGACUGUCAGAGACACCCAUCCAAGUGACUGGACCACAGGUGACUUUGCCUGGGACACUGGCAACGGCCUCGGAGCCUGCAGAGAGGAGGAGAGGCAGUGCUGGCCGUGCACCUGCACACGCCUGCUGCCUGCCCUGCCCGUCCUUAGCCUCUCCUUGGGAAUAGAAAAUGAGGCAGAGAAGACCAAGAAAAUGGAAAAGGGCCUUGACCCGGGCACCGGGAAGUCAAGGGGCCCUGCCCUCCUCCUGCGGAUUCUCAGGUGUGGAGAUGCUGGUAGGGCUCAGGGAGCUGGGGAGGGGUCUGCACAGCCCCUGUGGGCCACGCACCUGCCCUGAGGGAGGCUUGGAAUGCCUCUCACCUGGAGCUGCCUCUCACCUGUGCUGCCUCCCACCUGUGCUGCCUCUCACCUGUGCUGCCUCUCAUCCAGAGCUGCCUCCCACCUGUGCUGCCUCUCACCUGGAGCUGCCUCUCACAUAGCACUGCCUCUCUCACCUGUGCUGCCUCCCACCCGUGCUGCCUCUCAUCCAGAGCUGCCUCCCAUCCCGAGCUGCCUCUCACCCUGGACUGCCCCUCACUUGGAGCUGCCCCUCUCCGGCACUGCCUCUCACCUGGGCAGGACAGGACAUGGCAGACACCUGGACGGAACUGGCGCCCUCCAGUUUGCUACGGAAACUUCUGCCCAGCGCUCUCCCCACUGCGGCAGCCUGCUCUUAUUGCCCUCAUCCUGACUCUGGGAGAACAGGGACGUGGACACGGCCCCUGCAGGACUUAGCACUCUCACCUGGGAGCCUCCCUCCCUGAGUGGGGAGGUGAGCCGAGGUGAGAGUAGGCAGGGGCUUUGAGAAGAAGUCACAGGAGCCAGGAGUCCCCAGCAAGGGGAGCGCUGUGCCUGUGCGCACAGCCAGUCGGGCCGCCUGCCUGCUGUGAGAUCUCGGCAGCAUCCUGAAGGGCUCUGUGCCUUCGUUCUCUCUGCUUGAUGCACAGCUCCACAGAGCGGCCCGGGGACCUCAUCCUCUUCCUGUUGAUCGUCCUGCCUUCCGCAGCUUUCCACGGAGGCACUGUCCUGCCAACUUCCUCUUCCCCGUGGGUUUUCAUCCUCUUGAAGUAGUCACUCCUCCAGACCCUGGUCACCCAGCAAUAGUUGCAAGACUUCACGUACAUUCUGCAGAGCCGCCUCGCUGCACCUAAGCCACUUUUCUGCCUGGCCUGGGGGCCUGGCCACCAAGAUCUUCGUGCUCUCUCGGGCACUGCCUGGCCAACAGCCGGCCCUGCUCUGCUUGGAUCAGGGAGACCUUUGCACUCAUCCUUCCCCUUGUGACUCGCAAUGGACGUUUCACUGAGCUGCUGCACAAACAUCUGGAAUGUUCUCAGACUUUUCUCCCCUCUGAUCUGCCUCUCUCCAUCGGCCUGCCUGUUUUUCUCUGCAGACAAGGAAAUGUCCCACACUCCAGAGCUUCUAAAAAAAAAAAAAAAGGAAUUGGACUCCACGAGGGUGGUCAUCUGGAGACCACUGAGAGGGGAGGAAGCCCUUGGAUCUGGGGCUCGGCCACACAGCUGCCUCCCGGGGGCUCCCCGGUGUCCAAGACUCCCCGUGAGCCGUGGCUAGGAAGGCGCCCGAGCAGAGCUGUCAGAGCUGCCACUUCCAAGGUGCUGCCCCGGGCUCCUGGCCUGAGGUUUCCAUGGUGAUGGUAACUAAGCAGGCGCCCCUGCGGCCUGUCUCCUCUCAACCCGUUCCGUGCUAGAUGUCCAAAUGCGACAGACAGAUCCCAGGGCAAGUGGGGCCUGAAGGUGAGGGCUCCGGACUCUUAGAGAGGAGGCACAGGAGUCACACAGGGCCCGGGCCUCUGGGGCCUUGCCGUCAGGGGUCCACCCCUGGGAGCUGGCUCAGUGCCUGGGGAAAGGGGUGCAAGUCCACACUGGGGAACAGGAGUGCAGUGUGAUCUGGAGAAUGCUGGUGUUCAUGUGGCCCCCGGGGGCGGGGCGGGGUGGGGUAGGGUGCUGGAAGCUUCUCUGUGAACAAGGCAGACACCCAGAUGACUGCGGGCUCUCCCCAGCACUGGGGGUGUUUGAGCAGAGGCCCAGCCCUGCUGCAGGAAUGGUGCCCAAGGUACCUAAGCACCAGGACGGGUUAGGAUAAGGUGGGCUUUGUGAUUUGUUAAAAAACACCACUGUGCGUUCACACAGGGCUCAGAGCGAGGGAUUUCUCUUUAUUGUCUUCCUGUCUGUCCGCAGACAAAAGGGAUGUGCUUUGUGGUUUUCAUAAUCUGUUGCUCUCUUGGUCUCUCAUUGUUGACCCCUGAUACUUCUCACCCAGUCAUUCGUAAUGUACUUCUGCUUCCUGCUUUUAGAAGUGACUGCUUCACGAAGUUUUUGUUAACAGCUAAUUGAAAAGAUUUGCUCAUAGUUUUCAUAGGCCUUGUUUUAGAAUGGUUUUCUUUUUAAAUGAGUGGAUUUUAGCCACUUGAUUUUAUUUUUCCUUUUCCUGUGUUCUUUCUAGGUGCAUCUUUGAUUGGGUCAGGGGCUCAGCUUUCCUCGGUGACUGAUCAUUUGAGGGAGUUUAGUUUACCUGUAUUAAGUUUUUGCGGGAGAUGCGUGCCAAGCCCUUAAUAUACUUUAUUGUAUGUCGAGAAUUUGGGUGUGGCUUUUUUUACCCAUCUGAAAAAAAAUGAGAUGUACAGUAUACAUGAGGUAUUCUGCAUAUAUACAUUAGCUAUAAUGAAUCCUAGUAAAACAAAGAGCAAUAUGUCCACAAGCACUGACUGUCCUUGAGGGCUUCUGUGUGUGUAUGUGUGUGCAUCCCCAAACAUUCCCCCCCGGCUUAGGAUAACCGUUACCUGAACCUUGUGCUACUGGACACCUGCUUUCCUUCAUAGCUUUACCACAUUUCGUGGUGCACGUCCACCAUCCAGUAAUCUUGCCUGUCCUUGAGCCACUGCGUCCUAGGAUCUGUAGCUGUCACUCAGCAGUGCUGCAUAGGAAGCCAUCUUAGGAGAAGGUGCCAUAGUCUGCUGUGGUCUCCUUCGGUACUGUACUGCAAGGGCCGCUCCUAGCAAACACUUGAGCGGUUCCUAGAUUUUGCUAAGGACAACAGUGCUGUUUUGAAGAAUCGUGCAAAUGUGUCCUCGGGAAAGAACUGCUGGAGAUGGUGUAACUCGCAUAGUUACAAUUUUGAAGUCAAGUAGAUGAUCUGUGUCGGCUUUAAAUAUUCUAAGAAAAAUAAAAUAUUCUGAAUACUUUUUAAAA